rnacentral:ncRNA from 2 species
CGCUCAUCCAGAGGGGCAGAGGGAUCGGCCCGAAGAAGCCCCGGCAACCCGUCGCACAGCGUCCGCUGGCGACCACGGUGCCAAUUCCGACCCGCGGUGCGCGGGAAAGAUGAGGA